CUUCUGUGGCCUCCCCUGGGGGGAGACCAGUCACACAUCUAGACCUGAGGAAUCAGCUGCAGUUCUGCCAACCCCACGAUGCCCGAGGCAGUGUUCCCUGAUGGCAUCCUCUAUUGGGGUUCUCUGGAAAAACAGAAUCAAGGGGAUGUUGUCAUCCAAGGAGGAUCAGAUGAUGUGUGAAGGAAAAAGGCAUUUGUUUGGCAUCUUGAGAUUACAAUUUGGGGUACAAGUCUAAUUGAUGUCCAAGGGCAGGAGAGUAACCAAACACCAUAGGUUCUCCUCUUGAUGGGUGCAAAAUCAAAGAAUAAGCAGGAGAUGAAAGAAUGGAGAAAGAUUUAUCACUGGAAGCAGGUAAAGAGAGGCCUGGGGUGGUUUACAAAAAAUCCUGUCCUGGGGAAACAGAGGAACGGAAGCGCAGGGAUCUUAUGUGGGGAGUCUAUACCUAUGCAAACGGGAAAGCGCUUUAGGGGCUGACACAUUCCUGAGCAUCUCUGUUUAAGGUCAUAGUUCAAGAAGGAAAGAUGCCUCAUUCAAGGGUCCUAAUGAUGGCAGAGGUGAACCCUUCUGGGCAUGCUCAGUACCAUGGCUAACUUGGCUAAGUUCACUCUAGGUUACAUAAAGAAUGAGUCAGAGUGGCUUGGUGACCUUAGCUGGUAUUCUAUAAGUUCUUUCAAAGAGUCUUAGUUGAAACAAAAAGAAAAGGCAUGUCUGAAAAUGUGGUAAGUCAGAAGUGUAUCCCCACAGGUGCCUGCCUUGCUCAGCAGCUCACAGGAGCAGAAGGGGGUCCAGCUUUAUAAGAAAGAACAACGCAUCUUUCCUCUGCCUUUUGUUCUGUUAGUCCCUCAGCUGAUUGGAUGGUGCCUGCCAAUCAGAUCUUCCUCAUUCAGCUGCGGAUUCAAAUGUCAGUCUCUUCUAGAAGCACCCUAUGGCUCACUGUGAGGAUGGCCUUAGGCCUGAGCCUAAGCAACUCCAUUUUAAAACUCUAGUUUGAAACCUGCAGUCUCACCAGGCACUCCUAACGGAGCCCUCCAGUAUGGCCCUCAGGCACAAACAAGUCACUUCUCCCCACCCUGGUAAACUCAGAGUGAAUCCUCUGGCAGGUUGUCCUCCCCCUGAUAAGGGGGAAAGGCGGGAAACUCAGGGUGGGACCACCAGACCAGAUGCCUUAACCCCACGGUAAAUAACAUCACUGAGAUACCCGGUGGCAGCUGAUAGGGAUUGAAGCGGGGGGGUCAAAAGCCCCAAAAUUUAGUACAAAUGAAGUUGCAAAUGAACAGACACUCAGCCAGCUGACACUGAUGCACACAAGCCUGAUGAGGACCUGGUCAGACAUCCCAACUCCUCUCACCUGCCUGAUCCUCUGCAUUGUUCUCACGGCUCUCAAACUCUGCAGCAGCCUCUUGACUCCGGUGAGAAAAGGACUUCUCCCUAGGACCGCCUCCUCAGCCAGCCUAGGCUCCAGCCCAGGAGAAGCCUGCCUUGGUUCCUGACCUGAUCACCACGGUCUGAGUGAGUGUGCAUCUGCUGGACUUAGAGCCUAAGGCCUGAGACUAGAUCUGGCACUUGAACUUAGCAUGCAGGGGAAUGUCUCUUGUGAGCUGUCAUAAUUAGGUGUGUUUGCAGUGCUUAGGUUAAUCUAGAAUUGUUUGCUGUGAAUUGAUUAUGUCUAUUGCAGUGCCUAGCAUUAAGGAUUGUCAUUUUCUUGAUUAGGAACCUAUAGAGUGAAAUUGUAUUGAGUGAUUUGAGUGAAUAAAGCAUUCACAAAGGCAGAAGAGUGU
rnacentral:lncRNA from 1 species